AUCACAUCGGUUCAGCCAGAUCUCGUCGGCCAAUGGGCCUACUGACUUCAGAAAGGGCUGUCAAACGCACGCAACACCUCACUUUUCAGCUGCAUCCUGUUUCCCCCCAAAUUAUGCAACUCGGUUCGUGAAGAAAGGAAACCAAGCAAUCCGCGGCUAAAGAAAAGAAAGGGCUUCGCUAGGUGUAACUUUUCCAUUCUCAAAGCACACAGAGAAAACAAGACGGCCAAAUUCUGAGCAGGCCUCUGAACCGCCAACCUCGUAAACUAAGCGCAGAAUCGCUUAAAUCACUUUCCCGAACCGGGCUUUCCUCUACAUCCCUAUAAGAAGCCAGCGAGCUAGCCCUGAGGAGCUGGAGCCCAUAGGCGCUGGGCUCCGCCGACGUCCAGGACAACGUGCCGGAAUCAGGACGAGGCAUCUAGUCCCUCAUGACUAUUCGAGUCUAGCCCGCCGCUAAGGAAGUCACAAGGGGCCGCUUAACGUCCCUACUAUCGGGGGGCGAGGGGGGAGUCCCGCCCGAUCCUCCCAGCGUGUGAACCCCGAAGAGAGGGGCGCGGAGUCCCGCGAGUGGGUACCUUGCGGGCGCUCGGCGCGGGCGCCACCUCUCGGACGGGACUCCACGGCCCCGCAGGAGGACACGGAGGAAGUGGAGGAGAAAUCGGAAGAGUCGGAGCCGGGCGAGCCGGGCGCGGAGGGCACGGCGGACAGUAUUGGAAUAAACAGCAAUGACCACCCUUUCGUAUCAAUACUAAAAUAAAGUCGGGGCUGGAGAGAUGGCUCAGGGCCUAAAAGUACUGGCUGUUCUUCCAGAGGACCUGGGUUCAAAUCCCAUCACCCUCAUAGAAUAAAGUCUUCAAGCAAAAUGAUGAAUACGCAUACAUGCGUGUAUAUUGUUGUAUGUUUUAUAUUAUUUUUUUACGUUAAUACAUAAUUGUAAUGUUUUAUUCCGCACCACUUGAUCUUGUGUCUGAUAAACACAAUGAAUUUUGAUGUCUG